GCAAACUUGGUCAUUUAGAGGAAGUAAAAGUCGUAACAAGGUUUCCGUAGGUGAGUAAUAUUAGUAGUGUUUCCGCUUUGAAGUGUGAAUAAGGUGCUAACUUGUUUUAGGUGAACCUGCGGAAGGAUCAUUACUGAUUCUAAAGGAUGUGCUGGCCUCACAAGGCAAAAAUAAAGUGCACUCCGAAACCUCAUACCCCUGUGCAUCCAUUGUAGUCCAGCAUUAAGGGAGAACUCAGUUCUUCUGCUGUGACUAUGUUUUUAUACACUAUUCGAAUUUUAUAGAAUGUAUCUAGACCUUAACAAAGUCUAAUAAACAUAAUAUAACUUUCAACAACGGAUCUCUUGGUUCUCGCAUCGAUGAAGAACGCAGC
rnacentral:misc_RNA from 1 species